UACGUAGGGACCAAGCGUUGUUCGGAUUUACUGGGCGUAAAGGGCGCGUAGGCGGCACUUCAAGUCAUCUGUGAAAUCUCCGGGCUUAACUCGGAACGGUCAGAUGAUACUGCUUUGCUAGAGUGCGGAAGGGGCAAUCGGAAUUCUUGGUGUAGCGGUGAAAUGCGUAGAUAUCGGAAAGAACACCAACGGCGAAAGCACUCUGCUGGGCCGACACUGACACUGAGAGACGAAAGCUAGGGGAGCGAAUGGG
rnacentral:rRNA from 1 species